rnacentral:rRNA from 1 species
GCUUACGGCCCACACCGGCCUGAGUACGCUGAUCUCGCCUGAUCUCGGAAGCUAAGCAGGGUCGGGCCUCUGGUUAGUACUUGGAUGGGAGACCCGCCUGGGAAUACCAGGUGCUGUAAGCU